GGUAUCGGUUUAUUUAUAUUCCUAGGUAUUUGUUAAUCUAUCGCUAUGCAUUUUUAACGUGUGAUAUAAUACAUUAUUUUUACUUGUCUAUAGAAUAAAUAUUAAUUAGAAUUUUAAAUGUGUCCAUUCUUUACACGCCUCCAAAUGAUAAUAGUACCUACAUUGGUUUCCUUGAAUUUUUGAAUAUUUAAAACGAAAAGUACAAAGUACCUAUUCAGUAACUAUU